rnacentral:lncRNA from 1 species
AUAUAUAUAUAUAUGAAUACCUUGUCAUCGAUGUAAGCAACCCAAAAUCUGGCAUGACCUCGAUCAUAGGCAUUUUGUGGAAGGAUGGAGGGAGCAUGGGUCCAAACUUCAUCGAUGUAUUCAACUAUGAUUGCAGAUUCACAUAUGGGUUUAUCUGCAUGAAGGAGAACUGGGAUUUUCUUGUGCACAGGAUUGGACUUAAGAAGAAGUUCACUUUUGGGAUUCAAGGUCUCUUCAAUAACCUCAUAAUCUACACCCUUCAGGUCAUGGGCAAUCUGCACCCUUAGAGCAAAAGGGCUGGACCAACUACCCAAAAGCUUCAAGUCGUUUUUAGCCAUCACUAUGCACUGUAAUGUGUUUUUUAUUUGAUAGAUUUUAAAUGUUUAGAUAUGAGAAGGCAGGUUAGAAAAACUAACUUUUAGAUGCAGCAACCAAUUAAUAAUCAACUCAAAAGUUGAGAGGUGAUACACAAAGGUAUUAGGUAGCAAUGGGUUUGAAAAAUUGUUGUACUAAUUCAAUGAGGAAAAGUUAGUUCGACAAGGAUCUAAAAACACAUUCAUUUUAGACUACUUUUAAUAAUAUAAUAAUAUAUAAAAUAAUAUAAUUGUGAUAAAAAAUUAUUUGACCAUGUCAAAUGAGAAAGUAUUUUUAACGUAGACGUAACUAAGUCACAUAAUUUUCUUAAUAUGAUCGUUUGACAUGAUGUAAGCAUGCUUGAAGUGCUGGCAUGGCACAUGGAUGUGUGAUUUAGAGAAUGACAAGAGUCACUAAAAAAUCCACACACUUAUUUAUGCAUAAAAUAUAUUUUUUAUAUACUAUUUAUCAAGCAAAGCAUAGUGUGUAAAUGAAUAAAUAUAUAUAUAUAAACUGGAAAUUUAAAACGAAAGAUAAAAGACUAACUGCACCAGCCGGGAAUCGAACCCGGGUCUGUACCGUGGCAGGGUACUAUUCUACCACUAGACCACUGGUGCAAUUGAUAUUAGCAUUGUUAGUUAUUAAAUAGAACUAUGCAAUAUAUAAGAGUAAAUAUUGUAAUGAAAUUGAUAUUGUUAAUUUUGUAAUCUGUCACUGUGUUUUUAUUUGUAUAAAUUAUAUUAUGCGUGAAAUGAAAUUUAAUGAUUUUGGGAUUAAUUGAAUGAAAAAUCAUUAUAAUAUCAUAUUUUUAAAAUUGAAAAACUUAAUUGACCUUUUCUUUUUUAAAUAGUGAAACCAAAUUGAAUAAAAUAAAUAAAUAAUAAGAAAAAAUAUCAGAGCUUCUAUUUUAAUAUGGAUGAGAGAUUUAAAUCCAACAGAAAGAAAUACAUUAAAAUUACGAGAGGAUAUAAAAGUUGAUCAUGGAUCAAAUAGGAGAGAGACCUAUUUUUCUUUUUACGCUUUAAGUCAAUAAGAACAUAAUGAGUAUACAAAAUGAGAAUGAAAGAAAUUGAGUGAGUAUUCUAUUUAAGAAUGUAUUGUAUUUAUAGACAGGAGAGUGGACAUCCGAGUUAUUAUAAAAGUGUUGCCUAUUGUCAUAUUUUAGAUAACUUUUUUUAUUUCAUUAUUGCAUAUUCAUAUAUUUUAAGCCACGAUUUUAAAAAUUUGUGGCUUAAGAAAAAAAUCGUGAGCUUUAGUAUGGACCCUAACAACAUAGACCAUGACUAAAAAUUCAUUGCUAAUUCAUUCGCUAAAAUUUAGGUAAUGAUUUUCUUUUACUAACGUGUGACUGUAGUUUUUCAUUGUUUAAAGUCAUUUUUAUCAGGGUUAAAUAUGUUUUUAGUUCUUAUACUUUAAAGCGAUUUUGGUUUUAGUCUUAUUUUUUUAAAGUAAGGUACAUUUUAGUCUUCCUUCUUAAAUGAUAAUUUUAGUCUUCCAAAAUCAACGGCGUUAAAAAUCAGUUAACGUGGCUAAAGGUGUUGUUCCACGUUUUUUUUUCUGACACCGAGUCAUUCUUUUCGACUUUUCUCCCUCCUCUCCCUCCCUGCAUCUUCACGCCCAGUUUCUCCUCCUACCAUUGCUACGACUCGCCUUGUCGGUUCGUCCCUCACCCCACACCCACACAUUGUAACAAUCGCAACAAACUCCACACACUUGGCCACUACGAAUAUUCCUACACGGAUGGGUCCACAACAACGAGCUUCUUCUCCAAGGAAACAACGAUGUUCAAAACCAACUCCAACAAACAAGGGAAAAUUAAAAACCUGGCAUUCGGGUGCGGGUUUAAAACCUAUGGCCCCAGUGUAACAGGCUCCAUCUUAAACGGCACGCGAGGCGUAAUGGGACUGGGUGACAGACCCAUUUCGUUUACUUCCCAACCUGGCCGCAAAUUUUGCAAUUGCGUUCUCUACAUCAACAAUUGUGCAGCCACAAUGCUUUGUUGUUUCUUGCUUUUGAGCAAUUUGAAGAUUCUAAAGAUAACAAAACAAAAGGAUCAAAGCCAGAAGAAUAAAUAACAAAUCAAUUAAUAUAUGCAUAAAUAAACAUUUUGAAGCAUGAAUUUAUCCAAAACCCCAAGAUAUGGAAUUAUGGCUUCGUAUUUCUCGAAGGCAGAGGAAAAAGUGGCUUCAUUGCUUCGUCCAACAAUGAACUCCUUAAAAGUGCCAAUUCUUUUUGCAUUAUUCAUUUCAUCUGCAAAAUCUGAUAUCAAUAAUAUCAUUAUUCUUACUACGUUAUGAAAAUGUAAAAACAGUUUCUGAGAUAUGUGAGAAAGGAGAAGUAAGGGCGAAAUUGGAAUUAAAAGGAAAGGGAGUUGCCGCAAUGGGGUUUGGUGCUGGCACUUGUAACUUUAAGUUCCUGCGGCGGAGGGAGCCGCCGCGUUGGGGUUUCGACCUUUGUGUUAAGUUUGCGGCAUUACAAGACCGAGGCUUUCGAAGUUGAGAUUCUUCCUCGCUAGAAAAUCAGUGUUGUCGUUGCCGGCGUGGAAUUAUUUUAUUAAGGCAGUAGAUGGAGUAAAGUGUCUCGCGGUUCAGGCAAUUUCGAUCGGGUUUUGGAUUUACUUUGGCCAUGGAGGUGAGCGUGGUGGAGGGUGGUUGCACAUGGGGGUUUCGCGGUUGAUGGUGGUGGCCACUAUGGUAGAGUUGGAGGGAGAGGGAGGGAGAGAAGUUGGGAAAGAUUAACCAACGUAAAAAAAAAAUAUGACAUGGCACACUACCGUUAGCCACGUCAGCUUCUUUUUAACCUAAAAUGUAUCUUACUUUUAAAGAGGGACUAAAACCAAAACCGCUUGAAAGUAUAUGGACUAAAAACAUAUUUAAUCCUUUUUAUUAUAGUGGGACAAAAAAAAUGUAAAAGUGAUAAUUGAUUGUGAAAUAAUUGAUUUUUAUUUUUUAUAUAUGCCUCAAAUAUGAGACUCAAGGAUAUUAUGACAUACUAUGCUCAUAAUUAUAUUUAUUAUGGUAUGAUAUUUAUUAAAGUUGUUAAACCUGACUCAUCACAUAUUUGAAUAGGUUAAAAAAUAUUUCUAAUUUUAGUAUGAAUCAAAAUUGGACCGACUUACUAAGAACUCAACUCACUAAAUCAAACCAGUGAUAGAAUAUACCAUAAAAGUUAAUUCUAAGUCGAAUUCCUUCGUAUGUGCUUGAGAAGCUCAAAUUUCAAAAUUUUGAAAAAAACCUACAUGAAUAAAGUAUAGUUUUCUUUGAUAAAAAUGGAAGGAAUUUCUAAAAUAUAACGUGUCUGUAGUCACGUAUUUUUUUGUCAUAUAGAUCUAAAAUGAAUGAAAAAUCAUAUAUUAAUAUUUAAUGAAUUUAUAAUUUAAUUCAUUACGAAAAAAAAUGCUUGAGUUUGUUAUUAGAAAUGAUAUGAGCGAUAAGAUUAACCAUGUAUGAUUUCAAAAUGUAAAAGAUCGACACUAUUUUUGUUAUUGUUUUUUUAUAAAAAAAAACUUUAACACAAUAGUUAAUAUUAUUUUCUCUAUAAAUAAAAAACAUAACUUAUUUUAUAUUUGUUAUCAGUUGCGUUCCAAAUUUUUAAUAAUUUUAAUCUUUCAUCAAAUGAGAAUAUUAGUAUAAGAUAUCUACAUGUAUAAAUAUUAUACUCUAAGUUAUAAAUAGGUUUAAAUGCUUACUUCGUCCUCAUGUUAAGAGGUAAAUUUUUAUUUUGUAUUCGGUUUUAAAAAUGAAGACAUUAGGUCUCAAAAUUGUAAAAAUUGCAUGAAUGAAGUCCUAUCUGUUAAGUUUGCACCAAUGGUGUUAAUUGCGUGCUGAUGUAGCAUGCUUUUUCUUUUUUUAUACUCUGUUGUCCAACUUCUCUCCUAUGUUGUCCAUCUUCUCUCUUAUAUUGCCCAACUUUUUCUCUCUCUUCCAUAUUAAUAGUUCCAAUUUCUUUUUUCUCUUUUUUUUUUUUCUAACAAUCAAAUCCCUUAAUUUUUGGAGCUAAUUCUCCAUUGUUCCCGUCUCGCAUUAACCCCUCAAGGCAAAUAAGGGUUUAUGCAGUUGAGGCAUUUUGUUCCCUCCACCGCCAACACUUCCUACAGCAGCUCCACCAGCUACGGUCUCUCCUCUAAUACCUCCAUUGCCAGCCACACCUCCCUCACCUCUCUCCGCGACAUUGUCAUUAAUUGAGUAGUUGUAUUAAUUCUCACCAUUGAACUCCCAAAGAAGAUACACGAGUCAACAAAACUAAAUUCAUGUACACCAGGAUUUUCAAAACAUAUAUAGGCUGGGGAAUUGUGUUUGACCUAAAACAAAUAUUAUUACAAUGGCUAAAACACACGUACAUCAGAAAUUUCCAGAAAAAAGUGACAUUGGACCAAAAAUAAAAUGGGAAAGAAAAAAAAUAUAUCAACCUCAAGCCUUUUAUUUUCCAGGAAUAACAUUUGAAAACUGAAAUUCACUACUCUUAGUGGUCAAGCUAAUUGUUUUUCUCUCUCUAUUAUAUUUCUCAACUUGCCUCACGAGGGUGACAUAUACAAAUGGACCACAUUCCUCCUUGUAGGAUACAACACCAUGAAUAUUGACCAGAGCCAAAACAAAAGCCUCGGCACUAACAACACCAGCAACCGCUCAUAAAUUCUGCUUACAGAACCCAUUGCGGCAAGACAAUUUGCUUUUGCUCUCUUUCUUUUUACUUUUAGAAGGAGCUGGAGAAGGAGGCGCCGACUUCACCAAAUUUGUUGUCGAGUUCAUCAGACUCAUCGUCGUGGAGGCAAUGGGGCCAUCCCUGUCAACACAUCAAAAGAAGAACCAAAACUCCACCACUAUAUUCUGUGAAUCUUUAUGCUACCCUACGUAUAACCUAAGAACCCUACAUACAUAAAAUCACUCAAAUACUUAUCCACAUCGAGGCUCGUCGACAACACGGGAUCUUUCAGUUUCAAAUUGGAAUAUGAAACCCAUACGUGUCAGCUUCUCAAUCCCUUUUCCUACAUCAAAUCCAGCGGCAUCAUCGUCACAGAACCAUUUUUAACGCUAGGGUUUGCCAUUUUGGCACCACGCAACUCUGCAACGAAAUCGACCUUGAAAACGAACAAUUAGGCGAAAUCAAUGAGAUAUGGGAGAAAUUUUUGCCAUCCCUAGCGAGAUCCAGGCAAUUCGAAGGCGUGCGGGGGUACAUGGCAAUGAAAUUUCAAGCCUCCGACAUUGAGACUCAGAGGUCUGAUAUAUACGCUUUCGGAGUGGUGAUGUUGGAGCUCUUGUACGGGGAGGAGCCAGUGAAGUUUAAAUAUGAUGAGAACAUGCACAUAUUUUUUAGGACGUUAGUGAUUGAUAACGGUUGAAAAUACUGUUAUCUGUUAUUCAAUUUUGAUACUAAAUACAUCCUUUUUGACUUAGAAACUUGCUUUAACUCAUGUUUUUGCUUUAGUUUUGUGAAUAAGAGAGUUGAGGUUAUACUUGAUGAUUUUAUCACUAAAUUUCCUUGAUUUUGUAGGCUAUUGGAAUGAAUAGAAAGAAGGGUCAAAGUAUCAAAUGGUUGGAGUGCAGAAAAAUCAACCAUAAUGCAGAAAAGUCAACCAGAAUGUAGAAAAGUGAACCAAAGUGUAGAAAAGUCAACCAAAAUGCAGAAAAGUCAACCAAAGUGCAGUUUAGCACCGCAGGUGGCGCCUGGGCGCCCUCCAGGCACUGACAAGACAUUGUAAACUAAUAAUUGAGAGUAGGCUUUCUUCACCAAGACAUCGGGUUUAAAGUAAACUAGAAAGUGACAUUAACAUUAAUGAAGAAGACGAAUUCGUUUAUGCAUGAGAGUGAUUAGGUGAAAUUUAAACUCUAAUAACAUAUUCAUCCCAUAUUAACAACAUCAUCCAUUCAUUCUAGUGUUUAGCCUCAAUUGAUCAAAUUGCAUUCAUGUUUAUUUUUCUGCACUUUGCAUUCAAAAGCCCCAAAAUAUUGUUCUUAUAAUCUUAAUUGGUUUAGCAAAAGCACAACUGUUUAGUGUCGUGAGUCUCUUGGUAAAAUGAUACUUGGUCUUACCAUUUAUAUUACUUGAUACGAUUCAGUACACUUGUCGGAGUCUUAAGAAGUUUUUGGCGCCAUUGUCGGGGACUCGUGGUAUAACUAUUCUAUUUGUGUGAUUCUUGACUGGUUAGACUUUAUCUUUGAAAAAAAAUUAAAAAGAAUUAAUGUUUUUAUUUUUUGGCUAAUUGUGUGCUAUAGUGCAGUGUUCUUUAGUGUAUGUAGGAUAAAAUUCCUACUAGGAGCACAAGAUCAUCAGGAGGCAGAUAAGAAAGGAGAAUUGGUUCACCAACACCCUGAUGUGAAAAGUGAUGAACCCAAACCUGACACACCAGUGAAAUUCAAGAUUAAGUUAUGGGUUGUCAAAACUAUCAAGGCAAACAAAGUUCUUGAGAUAUAGGCUCCUUAUUCAAGAAGAAUGAAGUUGGUGACAAGAAAAUUGCUGAGAUUUUGUUGGUGUGAAGAAAGCAAGAGGAACACCAACAUCAAAAAUUCGGAUUGGGCUUAAUGGUGUCAAGCUAAUGACAUUAAACAAGCGCUUUCUGGGAGGUAACCCAAUUUUUAAUUUUUUCUUUUUCAUUAAUUUAGAUGUGUGGUUUGAAUUUGAUUUUGUUUUAUGUGUGUUUGAGUUUUUUUUAGGUUAUAUGCUGCUUCUGAUGGCAGUGAUGACAACAUCUACUGAUGGAUGCUAGGAACACUUAGAUCACAACAUUUACUGAUGGAUGUUGUUAUGAUGAGGAUGAUGAAUGAUAACAUCUACUGAUGGAUGCUGCUAUAACAUCUACUAAUGGAUGUUAUGUGAUUAAGCAUCUAUUGAAUGAUGCUAUGUGAUUAGACAUCUACUGAUGGAUGUUACUGACAACAUCUACUGAAGGAUGUUGAUGAAGAUGAGAAAUAUUAGCAUCUACUGAUGGAUGUUGAUGAGCACGAUUCCCAUCUACUGAUGGAUGCUGAUGAUGAGAACUGACAUAACAUCUACUAACGAAUGCUAUAAUAUCAAGAUUUAUUUUAUUUUUAUGCUUGUUUGAGUUUUGUUUUUAAUAAGCUAUGUACUUGGUUGAAAGAAUAGCUCUAUAAUGGUUGAUAUUAUGUGAUGAACUAUUUUGUGAUGAGUAAUAUUGUCUUUUGUUGCUCUACUGCUUGAAAUGCAUGGUUGAGUUAAUGUUUGAAUUAGCUAUUAAGCACAUAUAGUGGUUGCUCAUAAUUGUUUAAAACAGAUGCAUGGUUUCAAUUGUGAUUGAUAUGCUGAGCAGGAUGUAUAUUAAAUUGUGGAACUUAAGUUAACCUGUGAGAGAUUGGGCUCUAGAGUUUUAUUGAUUGAUAUGCAUAGUUGAUUUUGCCUAAGUUUUUUCGUUGAACUAUUUGCUUGCAUGUGUCAUAUGAUCAAGGCCGUUUGUUCUUCUCCCAUAUAAGCCAAUGCAAUAUUUGAACCCAACAAAAGAACAAUGUUUGUUCUAUCCUUUGAACCUUAAGCCUAAACAUGUGAAAAAACAACCUUUUGAAAUCUUUACCUUGAGUUGAGUUAAGUACAUUUGUAUGGUAUGGAGAAAGGUUAAAGUUUGGGGUUGUUGGGAAAAUUUGAAAAAGAAUUGUGAAAAGAAAAAAGAAAAAGAGCAUUGAGCUAAGUGUUGAAUGAAAUUGAAAAAGAAAAGAAAAGAAAAGAGAAGAAGAAAAAAAAGGAAAACCUCAAUGAAUGAAAAGUUGGGAGUAAAAUGAGAAUGGUUUCUCAAAUAUAAAGGAGAAAGAGAGAUUAUGGUUAAUGUGAAAGGAAAUUUUUACUCUCUUAACUCAAGGAUUUUAUUGUCUAGAAAAACCAGUUUUCUUCUUAGCCCAGCCACGUUACAAGCCUUAGAAAGUCCCUGUGAUGAUAACUUGCUUGAGAAUAUGUUUUGAUGUGCUUAAAUGAAUGACGAAGUUGAUCUAUGUGACAUUGUGAUAGUAGAGUGAAAGAGACACAAAUACCUCACUAUACACUUUUGUGUGCUUGAGCGAAACACUUUUGAGUGCUUGAGUGAAACACUGUCUUUGGUGAGGAAUGGUUCCAUGCAUUACAGUUUGACAUUCUGCUCAGCUAUUGAUCGCUUAUCAUCUCUCUGCAUCUGUUGUGUAUUCAUUGUUGUGUGAGAACCAUAAUUGAAGCUUAGUUUGCUAUGACAUCAUUAUUUCUUGACUGAUCUUUCUAUGAUGAGCAUACAUGAGUGAUUUACUUGUCUUAGAGAAAAAUGCUUUUUAAUGUGUUAGAUCAUUGUAUUAUAUCUAUCUUAUGUAAGAAAAGUUACAUUUUGCUUGAGGACAAGAUAAGUUUCAAGUUUGGGGUUGCGAUAACAGUUGAAAAUACCGUUAUUUGUGAUUCAAUUUUGAUACUAAAUGCACCUUUUUUUGACUUAGAAACUUGCUUUAACUCAUGUUUUUGCUUUAGUUUUGUGAAUAAGAGAGUUGUUAUACUUGAUGAUUUUAUCACUAAAUUCCCUUUCUUUUUUAGGCUAUUGGAAUGAAUAGAACGAAGGGUCAAAGUAUCAAAUGGUUGGAGUGCAGAAAAGUCAACCAAAACGCAGAAAAGUCAACUAGAAUGCAGAAAAGUCAACCAGAGUGCAGAAAAAUCAACCACAAUGCUGAAAGGUCAACUAGAGUGUAGUUUAGCACCGCAGGUGGCGCUCGGGUGCCCUCUAAGGGCGCUACGUACCAUUUUUAGUGCCGCAACCACCACCCGGGCGCCCUUUUAGGGACGUUGAGCGCCAGUUUCUCCUGUUUCAUGCCUAAGCGCUGGCAGCGUGAGCUUGGACCUAUUUUUUUGUUAUUUUUAUGAUCUUUUUAAGACCCAGAUGCCUUAGGGUUUGUAUCUUUUGAUGGCUUAAGUACAUAAACACAUUUUUCACCCCUUUGGGUGUAGAUUUGGGGAUGGAGGAGCUCUCCUCUUCUCUCUCAAGGGUUUUUCUGUCUCUUUCAUUCCAUUGUACACCUAGUUUCUUUAUAGUGGUGGAGAAUUAAUCUCAUUUGUUAGUGGGGAAGAUGUAACAUCUAAAGUCUCUUGUAUUUGAAUUGAUUUAUAUUAUAAAUGCUUCAUUUAAUUAAUUAUUAGGGUUUUUCCUCUAUUCUCAUUGCUUGCUUUUUUAAACUCAUUCAUAGCAUGAUAAUUGAUUUUGUCGAUAUGGACACAUACGAGGGUUGGCUACCUUUAAGCUUCUGUGCAUAUGUAAUGCAUAAUCAAUUGUUAGGGAGACAUGACAUUGUAAACUAAUAAUUGAGAGUAGGCUUUCUUCACCAAGACAUCGAGUUUAAAGUAAAUUAGAAAGUGGCAUUAACAUUAAUGAAGAAGACAAAUUCGUUUAUGCAUGUGAGUGAUUAGGUGAAAUUUAAACUCUAAUAACAUAUUCAUCCAAUAUUAUCAACAUUAUCCAUUCAUUCUAGUAUUUAGUCUCAAUUGAUCAAAUUGCAUUCAUGUUUAUUUUUCUGCACUUUGCAUUCAAAAGCCCUAAAAUAUUGUUCUUAUAAUGUUAAUUGGUUAAGCAAAAGCACAACUGUUUACUGCCGUGAGUCUCAUGGGAAAACAAUACUUAGUCUUACCAUUUAUAUUACUCGAUACGAUUCGGUACACUUGCCAAAGUCUUAACAGUGAUCAAGAUGACGAGAUGCAUGGUUGACGGCGGCGAUGGUGGCGUAUAAGGGAAGCCGAGGAAGUGGACGUAAAGGAGUAGCUUAUAUCACAUGCCCCAAAAACUGGACUUCCUCCAUCCAAAAUUCGCACUUGGACAGCUUGGCAUGCAAUUUCUUCUCCCUCAAUACCCUAAGCAUUGUCCUAAGGUGAUCAACAUGCUCCUCACGAGUCUUGGAAUAGAUAAGAAUGUCGUCUAUGAAGACUACAACAAACUUAUCUAAGAAUGGUCUGAAGAUUUUGUUCAUAUAGUCCAUGAAUAUGGCUGAAGCGUUAGUGACACCGAAAGGCAUGACCACAUACUCAUAAUGACCAUAUUUAGACUUGAAGGCAGUCUUCUACGCACCACCUUCCUUAACUAGAAUCUGAUGGUAGCCCGACCUCAGAUCUAUCUUAGAGAACACAGUAGCUCCAUGUAGGUGAUCCAUCAAGUCAUCUAUUCUAGGCAAAGGAUACUCGUUUUUUAUGGUCAACUUAUUCAAUUGCCUCUAGUCCACACAUAACCUAGAGCUAUCAUUGACAAAUUGACAAGUGUACCAAAUCGUACAAGUAAUAUAAAUGGUAAGACCAAGUAUCGUUUUCCAAAGAGACUCGAAUGGCUUUCUCUUUCGCGUGAAUUAAAAUAAUAAGACUUGAAAAUAAAAAUUAAUAAAUUGGAUUUGAGAACAAAAAUAUUAACAUGCAAAAUAAAGUUGAUCCAAUUGACAAAAGAAAACAAUGGAUGAAUGAAUGUUGUUGGGGUUAUACAAUUUCAUCUAAUCCGCUCUCUCUUACCUACUACCCUCAAAUAUUAGUUUGAUUGAUUCAAUUGUUAUGCGACUUUCUUAGCCUCCCCUUAACCCGAUCCCUCGGCGAAAAGGGCCUAAUAUUAACUACUGGCUUGCUAUCCCUAGCCUCCCCUAGUAAUUAAUACCGCAUUAUAAACAGAAGUUAGCGCAAUUGAUCGUCCUAUCCCUAUCCCUAGGUGGUAUUGCAAAAUCAAGAAAUUACUCACCAGUUCAUGUCAUUACUGUACGUCCCCAUAUCAAUAAAAACAAACAUCAGUUACCGAAUGAGUUAAACGAUAAAGGCCUUAAGCACAGAUAAUAACCCAACAAUUAACAAUCAAAACAUAUGGAGACCAUAUAAAUAAUCAAGAGUUUCAAUGAGAGAGAGUAUCAAAAGAUUACAUUGUUUCCCCCAACAACAAUAGGGUUUAGUUCACCAUAGACAUGGUGAAACUAGAUGAAAAAUGGAAGAAUGGAAGAGCAAACCCUAGAAAAGAUGAAAAGGAGCCUAAGCAUCCAAGAGAUCCUCUCCAGAGAGCAAAAUUAGGUAUGGUCGUUCUCCCCUGUCAAAAGAAUAAUUAUGAACUCGCAAUAGGGGUAUAUAUAGGUGAAGAGCGCAUCAGAAAACAGGCCCAAGUCCAGCGAGCCACCGUCGGGCGGUUUAAGUGUGCCGCCCGGCGGUUUCCCAAAGUCCUCCAAACCGCCCGAAGGCAAUCGCCACCGCCAGGCGGUUUCCCUUAGGUCCGCCCAGCGUUAAUCGCCAUGCCUUCUCCUCGUCCUGGACUGCCCGACGGUUUAAGUGUGUCGUUGGGCGGUGCGUCGACUCUUCAAAUCUUCAUUUUUCUUCUCUUUUCUUGAGUCAACGACCUGUAUCUUCAACUCCAUUCUUUACUUUUCUCAAAUUAGCUACAAAACAAUGCAAAACAAGCAUAAAAUCGCUAAAAACAGCUUUUGACUCUCUUCAGACUCAUUUAUUGAGUUUUGCUUGAUUCUAGGCUCAUUCCGAGUAGUAAAGGGUGUAAUUUAGUCCCAAUUGACAUAUGAAAAUAACUGUUUUUCAACCUUCAUCAAUCAUCCUUCUUCUUUACUAACAACGCUGGCGCACCCCACGGCGAGACACUAGGUCGAAUGAACUGUUUCUCAAGUAACUCUUCAAUCUGCUUAUUUAACUCCACCAACUCAGCUGAAGCCAUCCUAUAAGGCGCUAUGGAUACUAGCCCUGCACCUGACACCAGAUAAAUAGAAAAAUCAACCUCCCUCUAAGGAGGCAACCCCGACACUUCCUCUAGAAACACGUUCAAGAAAUCACUCACAACCGAGUGAUCUAAACUCUGCCCACUCUGAUCAACCUCCAUAUGAGACAACACUAGAAAACAACAAGAUCCUUAUAUCAGCUCUUGUCGCACCUGACCCGAAGACAACAACAUUAACUACUCUAUCUCAGGAAACAACAACUUCUUCUCACUACAGUCUAUAAGAAUGUGAUUGGUAGAUAACCAAUCCAUCUCUAAGAUUACCUCAAAACCUUGUAGAGGUAAACAAAUGACAUUCACCUUGAAUUGACGCCCUUCUACCACCACUAGAUAUCUAGCACACAUUGUGGAUGUCCUGACCAACCCAGAAGUGGGAGUAUAUACUACCAGAUCAAAAUGUAGCUCUCUCACAAACGACCCCAACUCCUCAACACAAGCCUCAGACACAAAGGAAUGUGUCGCCCCCAAAUCAAACAACCCAAAACACAGUCUACUAAACAACAAACAACAACUGAUGAUGAGAAUACCUGAACUGGUUGCCUUUGAUCUCGACAAUCCAUAAACACGUCCUUAUGCCUGAGUUCUGGCACCUGCCCUCUGAUGAGACCUACCCGCCUGGUGUGACUGUGAACCUGUCCUCCUAAUUGUAGGACAAUCUUUGGUGUAGUGACCCUUAGUCCUGCAAAUGUUGCACCUCCGGAACCCCUACAUCUGCGAACAAACUAACUAUGGAUGCGAUCCUCCACAAAUGUAGCAUGUCACAGUCCUAGACUGACUAGGUUGACCUGACUGUACGGAUGACUAAGAGGGGGAACCCCUAGACCCAUGAGAAGGAGGCCUAGAGUAAGAUGUCCUCCUAGAACUGAAACUGCUCUUGGACCCAAAUGGUCCACCAACCCUCAACUAUUGAUCUCUUGUCCCUUCACCUCUCUCUUGAUCUUCUCAAGGACUCUUGGUCUCUCAACUAAUGUAGGAAACUCCUUAAUGCACAACCCAAUCACUAAAAGCUUGAUAUCACCCCUCAAACCAUUCUCAAAAUUUCGACAUUGCCAUUCCUCAUCCAUGGUCAAAGUGCGGAACCGAAUCAAAUGUUUAAACUGGUCUGCAUACUCAGAAACUGACAUACUACCCUGCACCAACUGUAGGAGCUCAAUCUCCUUCGGAAAUCUCACAAUGUCAGAGAAGUAGUCAGUAUAAAAAUUCUUCUUGAACAAAUCCCAUGUGAUAGGUGUACCACUCCCCUCUAAAAGCAUCCUCAUAUUGCUCCACCAAUGGCUAGCCUCACUAGUCAAUAAGUACUCAGUGGAAGCCAACUUGUUCUCCUCAGGACAUCUCUUAACAUUAUAGGUCCGCUCCAUUUCUCUAAACCAAUGUUUGUCUCAUCCGAACUAACUUCGCCAUUAAACUUGGUAGGGUAAUACCGUAGAAAGCUCUUAAGACUCUACUCUUGAGGCUAAGUGGAAGAAGAAAAAGAAGGCCUUGUUGUAACUCUGUCACUACUCAUAAGCUCAACAUACUGCCUCUAGGAUGUCUCAGCUGACUACCCUGCACCAACUGUAGGAGCUCAAUCUCCUUAGUAAAUCUCACACUAUCAGGGGAAGUAUAGUAAGUAUAAAACUUCUUGAAAAAAUCCCAUGUGAUAGGUGUAGCACUCCCCUCCAGAAGCGUCCUCAUAUUACUUCACCAAUGGCUAGCCUUUCAAUAAGUACUUAGUGAAAGCCAACAUGUUCUCCUUAGGACAUCUCUUAACAUUAUAAAUCCGCUCCAUGUCUCUAAACCAAUGUCUGCCUCAUCCGAACUAACUUUGUCAUUAAACUUGGUAGGGUGAUACUGUAGAAAGCUCUCAAGACUCCACUCGUGAGGCUAAGUGGAAGAAGAAGAAGAAGGCCCUAUUGUAGCUCUACCACUACUCAUAAGCUCAACAUAAUGCCUCUGGGAUGUCUUAGUUGACACCCUAGCAGCUUCGAACUACUGCCAAGCCACAAUAUUAUGCUAGACUAAAGCGAUUUUCUGCUAUUGCGUUGCAGUUGUCACUAAUUCCAUCAUCCUCAUAAGAUCAAGCGCAUUGGGAUUACUAGAUAGAGGAGGGGGAGGCCUAGAUGCCAUCUUCUGCUUACACAAAAAGAAAAGCCAUGAGUCCAACUGAUAACGGUUGAAAUACCGCUAUUUUUAUACUUAAAUUUGACACUAAACAUACCCUUUAUGACUUAGAAACUAGCUUGAAAUCAUGUUUUUAGCUUAAGUUAGAGAAUAAGAGAGUUGAUGGUAGUAUUAUUGGUAUUAUGCUUGGUUUUGUUGUUUUGGCAGGAAUUAACAUGAAUUGGAUGAAGGAAGUUGAAGAAGUAAGGAGUUGGACUUGAGAGAAGCAGGAAAAAUGCAUAAAAGAAGAAUUGCAGAUGGUGCUGAGCGCAAUUUCUAUAGCUGAGCGCCAACCUCGUUAUAGAGUUCACUGUCUGACGCUUGAGCGCCAACGCUGAGGGGGAAUACAAGUGUCGCAGCUACCGUUGAGUGUGACACCCGGGCACUGACGAAGGCGGAGAGUGAUCGCCGGUGCAAGAGGCAUGGACAAGGAACGGCUCCUGGCAGGCUUCCAGUGGAAGGGGCACGUGGACGAAUCGAACAUACACCGGAAUGAGAGGGAUCUAGAGACUUUAUAGGUAUGGGACUAUACAAUUGAAGGAUAGCUUAAAGGAAUUGAUUUGGCUACUCAUAUCAACAAAUGGAUUUGCUUUUCGGUAGCCUAACUCAUAAGAACUCCAUGGUUAAGCGUGCUUAGCCUAGAGUAAUUAUGGGAUGGGUGACCUUCCAGGAAGUUUUCUUGGAAAGUGUGUGAGUGAGGACAAAGCACACUAGAAACCCUCGUGUUGAUGUGUGGGGGUAGGGGCGUUACAUUGAGCGCCACUUUUACCGCUGAGCGCUUGAGUCUUCAGUAGAGUCCACUGUUUCUCACCUGGGCAUCAAUGUUGAGCGUAAUUUUGAGUACUACAUCUACCGCUGAGCGGCAAUUCCAGCGCUGAGCAUUGUCAACAUGGGCCUAGGCCAGUUUCCUGUUAUUUUUAUGAGCUAUAUAAGGAUUUAGUCGACCUAGAGGGUCUAUCUUUUGGAAGAAGGAGGUGCAAAAACACUUUUUUCACCCCUUGAAGGCAGAUUUUGGAUGCAGAAGGUCCAAUCUACAACUUUUAGGGUUCUAUCUUUCAUUAUUUUCAUUAUUUUCAUCUAGUUUCACCAUGUCUAUGGUGAACUAAAACCUCCAUUAUUGUUGGGGAAACGAUGUAAUCGGUUUAAACUCUCAUGUACUGAAUUGAUUCUUUAUAAUAUAUGCUUUUUUUCAUUAAUUGUUAGGGUUUUUUGUCUAUGCUCUAUGUAUGCUUUUUUUAACUCAUUCAAUUGCAUGAUCAUUGAUUUUGUCGAUUAGAACACAUAUGGGGAAAUCUAAACUUGGGGAAAUUCUCUUGGGGGCAAUAUUACCUAGACAUAGGGAUAGGAGGACCAAUUGCCUUUAAGCUUCAAGACAUUGUAAACUAGUAGUUAAGAGUAGGCUCUUUCCACCGAGACAUCAGGUUUAGGGUAAAUUAGAAAGUGGCAUUGACAUUAAUGAAGGAGUUGAAAAUUCAUAAAUACAUGAGAACGGAUAGGAUAAAGUCGGAAACCCCAACAACAUAAUUCAUCCAUAUAUCAUUCACCUGCGUAUUCUUUUGGUUAAUUGAUCAACAACUGCAUUCAUGUUUAUUUUCUGUUUUUCAUUCUAAACCUAAUUGUCGUUCUCAAGUCUUAAAUAAUCAACAAAUCACAUGACUAUCUAGGUCAAUGAGUCUCUAGGGAAAACGAUACUUAGUCUUACCAUUUAUAUUACUUGAUACGAUUUGGUACACUUGUCGGAGUCUUAACACCAACUCAAAGAAACACUAGUACAAAAAUCAUAUUUUAUGACGUACAAAAUUGAGUUAUGAUGUACAUAGUUUUGUACGUUAUAAUAGGUCUACACAUUUUAUGACGUAGCAAAAAUUUACGUCAUGAUAGCCUGAACAUAUUAUGAUACAGUUUCUAAAAUCAGUCCAUGUUUUUAUAUGAAUAUUGGAGAAAAUUGUUUCGAAUUGAUAUUGAGUAAAAUUAUNUAUGUUCACAUUCAUUAGAGUUAUUUCUUUUUUUAUAGACUUCUUGAAAUUCUUUCUUCUUCGGAGCCAGCACAAAUUAUAAGUUGAGAUUUAUAAAAAACGACAGCAAAAUCUAACAAAUUAUGAUAAAAAAAAAAGAAAUAACUCUAAUGAAUGUGAACAUAGAUAAUUUUCCUCAAUAUCAAUUCGAAACAAUUUUCUCCAAUAUUCAUAUAAAAAAAUGGACUGAUUUUAAAAACUGUCAUAAUAUGUUUAGAUGACGUAAAUUUUUGCUACGUCAUAAAAUAUGUAGACCUAUUAUAACGUACAAAACUAUGUACGUCAUAACUUGUUUUUGUACGUCAUAGCUUGUUUUUGUACGUCAUAAAAUAUGAUUUUUGUACUACUGUUACUUUUUCAUUUUAUAUUCUGAGGUUAAUCUAACAAAUUUUUAUUACAAUUUAAUUUUUAUUUCAUGUAGCGAUAUCUUUAUGAAGCAUUUUUGAAGAGUGAGAUUGUUCUCUCAGCAUUUGAUAGCUCACCACUGGUUGCCCUUAUGGUAAUUUUUGUCGUGUUGUUUGAGCUACUCUCAUUCUUGUUAUGCUAUUAUAUUAUGUUCUUUUUUUCCUUUUUAUAUAGUACUACUGUUGUCUUUUGAAAAUAUUCAAACGGAUCAUAUUCUAAAGAAAAUAUGUGAUCAUCCACUUCUGUUGACCAAGAGGGAUGAACUCAAUGCUAAAGCCAGACGAAGCUAAUGUUGCAACAAAAUUGGUAAUGCUCAUAGCCGAUGUUGGUGACACAAAAAGGUUUAAAGAUGAACAAGAGGUGUCAUGCAAAAUUUCCUUCAUUAUGUCAUUGUUGGUAAGUACUGGUCAUGCAGUUUGUAUACUACUGGUGUUUAAUUCUCUGCAUAAUAUCACAGUUCUAAUUUUAUGUUGUAGGAUAAUUUGAUCCUAGAAGGGUUGUAAAUUUUUGCUACAUCAUAAAAUAUGUAGAUCUAUUAUAACGUAUAAAACUAUGUACGUCAUAACUCGUUUUUGUACGUCAUAAAAUAUGAUUUUUGUACUAGUGAAACAUGACUACAACCUAGACUUAACUAUGAGUACACAACACAAGCAUAACACACUCGUAACCUACAAGAUUCCUAAGGAAAGAACUGCUAUAAUACCAAAAAUGUAAUAUCCCAAAAUAUAACAUUUAACUAUAUAAUAGUCAUCACAUAUUUAGUAAGAUAGAUUAGUUGCGAACAAUAUUAUAAAGUGGAAAUUACAGUCAUCCAAAACUAACUAUAAAAUCAAACUUUAUAUGUAACUGGGUUAACCAAAACUAUUUACAAAUCUAAUCUAAAGAAAACUAUACAACAACAUCUCCUUCAUCAAGUACCUGCUCUAGAGGAACCUCAUCACCCUCUGCUUACACCCACAGGAUGAUCCUAGCAAAGAAAAGAACACAACAACAUACAACCACAAGCAUAAAUAAGAGGGUGCGCUAGUUUACAAUUAAAGAAUAUAUAUAUACAUACAUACAUAUAUAUAUAUAUAUAUAUAUAUAUAUAUAUAUAUAUAUAUAUAUUUAUUUAUAAACUCAUUUAAACAUGUUACAUAUAACAAACAUAUCACUACACAGUUAUCAAACACUUUAUGCAUGACAUUUAUUAUGAAUGGAUUGUCCGAACAUAGAAUGAAUGUCGAACUAUGACGGAUUGUGCACUUGUGGUGGCUUAUACUGCUUUGCAAUGCCAUUGCCAAUGGGUUUCAUCCUACCACAACCACAAGGUUAGUAUGUUCCACACCUUGGAUCAUACUGGAAGUACCCAAGACUAAGACAUCCUACUACUCUCACCACAUGUGUCAAUCCUCUCUAUGUAAGAAUGAAUUAUCAUUAGAGUGUUAGAAUAACCCCCAAGACUGAGCUCCCUACAUUCAGACUAAAGAUACUUGAAAUUAGACCAAGAAUUCCACCUUGGAAUUCACUUUCACAACUUUGAAACACUUUGAACCCAUGUACAUACAUCUCUUUACUUUUACAUUGCAUAUUAAUACAUAAAACUACUGAUCAUACAUUAAACAACCCAAAACACCAUUACAAGUCAUUAUGAGUCACAUAAUAACACAAUUUUCUUUAUAGCAACUUGAUACUCACACUUAGGCAAGGAAAACAGAUUUGAAACCCUCACCAACAGUUCCGGAAGGGUCAAAAACCUCUUAAAACGACCUAAAGAACGUCCAAAACAUAUAUAUUCAGAAACCUUGAAAACCACCCAAAAUUGGUGUAGUGGCGUCUAGUACGACAGUAAUCGAUUAUCACAUAUGAUAAUCGAUUAUUGACGAGGGCAUUGAAGAAAAUAUGACCCUCUAGCUAGAAUAAUCGAUUAUCUAGUGAGAUAAUCGAUUAUUUUUGUCAGCUUUUGACAACAACCUGAUUUUUUUUUUUGUGCAUUUAGACGUAUCCAAUUGAUCAAUUAGAAUAUGUAAUACUAAUAUUGAUAUGAAAACAUGUUUAUAGAUGAUAUUAAUGUAUUGCAUUGGUUAUUUGGAUAGGAAUUAGAUGUAUCAAACCAACUCAACAACUCAAAACCCCCAAAAAACCAACCUAAAAUGCAACUUUCACCUUCAUGAUAGAUUUUCACUGGUUUCAACCUCUAUCCAAGUCCUAAUUAGUCUCAUAACUUGUUCCAAACUCUCCAAAACAAAUUAAACCCCUUACUUCAAAAUCUCACUACUCAAAACCCCAUUUUUAUACUAAAAACACUCUAAACUUCGACUAUACACUGCCUUUUCAUUACAUAUCAGAUUUUAAUCACCUUAUACCUCUAACAAGUCUUAAUUUACCUCAUGACAGCACCUCAAAAAUAGUUUUCUCACAUUAACCCCAAAUUCUCAAACUCACAUAUGAAAACCCCCAAUUUUUAGGCUUAAAACUCAAUAAUUUGACCAACUCUCACUCCAAUCACUUGAGUUAAAUUUUCAAAUAUCAAACCAACAUUAUCAAACAAAAUCGUAACGGCAUAGAACAUCAAUUUCACACCAUUCCAAUCAUACACACAUCAUACUAUCAAAAUCACAAAUUAACAUACACAUUAUACAUCUAAUCAUACAUAUUUCUCAAAAUCAUUUAUAACUCAUAAAAAUACCAACACAACUAAAUAUGGUCUAACUUCCCUUACCUUAGUUAGAAUUACCCCGGCUCUCUAACACCCGAUUGUCGCUCCCGCCGCAAGGAAAAUUCUAAAAAUACCUACACAUCACCAAUUAAUGAUUGGAAAGGGACCUUGGAAUCUCAAAUUGACUUAGAAUUUUAGGAAAAAACCCUCUUUUACAUGCAAAAACAAAUUUACAUGUAAGAUCAAAGACCGAAAAUAGAAGGAGAAAAAGGGGUAGAAACUUGCUCUAUAACUAAAAUUGAUUGAUGGAUAAAUGAAGACAACUUACCGGUGAUCACGUAGGAACUUCUUGAUGUCAAACGGAUGAUCAAAGAGUAAGAAAGUGUAGAGAGAAGGAAGAGAGAGUUUAAAGAAUGAGUUCUAAAGAGAUAAAGUGUUUUUAAAUAAUGAGACGACUGUAUGAAAUUUUAUCUAUAGUAUCGACUUAUUUUUAAAAUAAAAUAAUCGUUCUCAAAAUUUUAAAACACCUAUAUACUCUAAUAUUCCAUUUUUUGGAUUCUUACAUUAACAAAACCAAAAUUUCAAAUUUUUUGGAAAACCCACAUGAAUAGUGUAUGGGGUUGCUAUUAUACUAACAUAAUGAAAUUUUAAAAAUAAACUAAUUGUGUAUCAUCUCAUGUUUUUAUCCAUAUAGAUUUGAAAUGUAUAUUACAAUCACAUACUAAUAUUUAACAAAUCCAUAAUAUAAUUCAAAUUAUAUUCAUAUUGGAAAAAAAGACAAAAGUGUAUUUAAGUUUGUCAUGGAAAUGACAUUGAUAAUGAAAUUAAGUGGUGAUAUGUGAUCUUCUAAAUGUAAAGGAUUUUAUACAUUAUUUUUGUUUAUCUUUAUUGAUGGGAUGAAGAAAAAACUAAACCUUAAUUCAGUAUAUAAUGUUACAUUCUCAUCAACAUAUCCAUUUUAUAUUUUUUAUUAAUCACAUUCUAUAUUUUAAUAAUUCUAAUUCAACCCCUCGUAAAAUCAAAAUAAUAUUAUAAAAUAUCUACACAAGAAUGAUAGUUGUGUUAUCAGUCAUAAACAUAAUAUUUACAAACCAUAUUAUAAUUUUAAAUAACAAGAUAAUGAUCUUAACACAUUCAAACAAAAUAUAUAUAUAUAUAUAUAUAUAUAUAUAUAUAUAUAUAUAUAAUAUUUCACAAUUUAUAUUUUAAUAAAUUAUUUUAAACGAAGUAUUUCUACUUAAAAAGCAAUAAGUGAGUGAAAGAUAUAUAUUAAAUUAGGAAAAUAUUUUUUUAGUAACUUAUUUUGACAAAUUUUUUACAACUGCCACUAGUGCAGAAAGAGCUUUAGACGUAUGUUAUUUUGGGUUUUUAACGUCAUAUCCCGAACCGACGUCUAUAUGGGUGACGUUAAUGGGACGUUAGAUUCUGCAGUUUCGACGUCGUUAUAGACGUCGGUUAAUCUCAAUGACCGACGUUUGUAUAAACGUCAAACAUGGCACAAAUCAAUGUCUACGAGCACUAUAAAGAUGACAGGCAUGGCACAAACGGAUGUCUCAAGGCAUUAUAUAGAUGUUGGACAUGGCAAAAACCGACGUCUAAGGGCACUAUAGACGUCGGACAUGACAUUAACCGACGUCUACAAAGUGUUCGUUGUGUUUUAGUGCAGUUUUGCUCGUGUCUUUGGGUACCGUAGUAGCACCUCCUUCCUUUGCUAGUUUCUUCGUAAGAAAAAAUUGUGUCUUUUUGCAUCUCUUAUGGCAUUUCAACCCAAAACCGAACAUGGGUUGUUGCCUUGUUCCAUUCCAACCGUCAGAGAAAAAGAAUACCAUUGUAUUCUUUUUCUUCGCCAUAGAAAAAGAAUAUGGUGACACCGUUUUCUUUUCCUUUGCGGUAGGAAUGGAAGUAGGCAACAACCCAAGUUCGGCUUCAGGUUGAAAUGCCAUAAGAGAUCCAAAACACGCAAGUUUUUCUUAUGAGGAAACUAGCAAAGGGAGAAGGUGCAUUACGCUACACAAAGACACGAGAAAAACUGUACCAAAACACAACAAAAACUCAUUUUAAUCGGUUCAAAUGAGAUCAAACGGUUCAAAAGCAAGUUUAAUCGGAGUAAAAGCGAAGUUUAAAAGGUUCAAAAGAGUUCAAAUGCACCUAAAAGGCAAUGCAGAGGAGAAAAAAAGCGAAGGAAGACGAUGAAGUGUGCGAAAUGAGAUAUCAGUUGCCAUAGAACCCGACGUCUAUAAUCGAAUAUACGUCGGUGACCUUACUAAUAUGACGUCCAUUCAAUUUCAAAAUUAAUAUUCGUGGUAAAUGCAGACAUCGGAUGCUUGGGAAUCAAUGACUAUAGUCGCAUAUAGACAUCGGUUGGCGGGAUUAGACGUCUACAUGGCGAAAAAAAAUUAACUUUUCACCUACCUGUCAGACUAUAAACGUUAGUUAAGAGGGACACUAACGUCUAUAGUCGCAUAUAGACAUCAGAGUUGGGGGAUCUAACGUCUAAAUGGCAGAAAGAAAUGACUUUUCACCUACUGUCAGACUAUAGACGUCAGUUAGGAAGGGCACUAACGUCUAUAGUCGCAUAUAGACGUCGAAUUGGAGGGAUCUGACGUCUAGAUGGCGGAAAGAAAUGACUUUUCACCUACUUGUCAAGCCUCUAGAUGUCCGUUAGGAGGGGCUCUGAUGUCUAUAAUAUUAUAGACGUCGGUGUCCCUUCUAACCGACGUCUAGAGACUUGACUUAUUUACAAAACUACCACCGGUCGAUAAUUUACGUCGUGGCCCCUCUAACUAACGUCUAAUGGGUGACAGUAAAAGUUAAUUAUGCACUAGUGUGCUUAUGUGGUAGUUCGUGAUUUGUCCGUUUCAAAUAUACCGACCAAUAAAAUAGUGACAGUAUAGUUUAUUGUUAAAAAGUUGUUAAAAAAAAUUGUUAAUGUAUCAUCAUCCAUUAAAUUAAGGUAUAACUAAAAACCUAAUAGUGCAUAUUCUAUAUAUUGGUGUAAGAGAAAAUAAAAUUGCAUAUCUGAAAAAAGAAAAGAAAUGUAAUUAAUAUUAUAUUCUAACAUAAUAGGAGAGAUAUAUAAUAUAAUACUUGUAUGUUUUAGUGAGGAAAUAUAAGUGUGUGGUAAUAUAAAAAGAAAAAAAAAACGCGUGAAGUUUUUUAGUAGUAUAAAGUUGAUAGUGCAUACAGCGUUACAAUUUAAUAAUGAAAAGCUCCAAGCAAUAAAAAAUAUAAUUUAACUAAUUUCAAGAGAAUAAUAGCAUUGAAAUUGAAAGAAGGUUCCAGGAAGACAACUGUUAUUUUUUCAUUAUUUUAUACUACUACAACCUAAGAAAACAACACAAAUAGAUUCCACAUAAUUUCCUUCCAAAGCCUACAUUUCUAAUCUCAAAGUGAGAUUGGAACUCUCUGAUGGAAGACAUCCUUAAACUCAAGAACAAAGAAAUUCCCAGUAACCUCAUUUGUUUUUAAACCCUUUUUUUUUAGUUUUAUUUAAAACUAAGUUCAUGCCAAUAAAGUUAGAACCAAAAACAACUAAAAUUUCUAAAUUUCCAUUUAGUUUGCAGCUGCACGAGCCCUUAAUAUUUGCUUAAAAGCCUUGGCAACUUCAAUAAGUUUGUCAGUGUCUGGUAUAAGGCCAUUGACAGCAGGAUGAGCAGCAAAAUUUUCAGUCCAUUGGAACAAGCCAGGGUGCUUGAUUUCAUCAAUCAAUUUUCUUGCAUUCAUCUUUUCCACCACUCUGAUCCAACUCAGAAAGCUUCCAAAACCAAUAUCAAUGAAUCCAAUGGUGUCUCCUCCGAAAAAGGCCUUUCCUUCACUGCCCUUGUUCAUCACUUCUUCCAUCCUCUCAAACACUUCUUCUGCUUGCUCAAACUGUGCCUCCUUUGCUUCAUCAUUCUCUUCAGCAUUUAGAAUACUUUUCAAGGCCGAAAACCACUACUCCCAGUUCAAACAGUUAGUACUCAUUCAAUGACAAUCACAUGAAACCUUAGAGCUUAUGAUGAUGACUAAGUUUUCAUACAACUUAAAGGAAAAAAAAAGGCUAACACACACACACAAACAUAUAUAUAUGAAUACCUUGUCAUCGAUGUAAGCAACCCAAAAUCUGGCAUUAGCUCGAUCAUAGGCAUUUUGUGGAAGGAUGGAGGGAGCAUGGGUCCAAACUUCAUCGAUGUAUUCGACUAUGAUUGCAGAUUCACAUAUGACUUUAUCUUGAUGAAGGAGAACUGGGAUUUUCUUGUGCACAGGAUUGGACUUAAGAAGAAGUUCACUUUUGGGAUUCAAG